rnacentral:rRNA from 1 species
GACGAACCGUGCGAACGUUAUUCGGAAUCACUGGGCUUAAAGCGUGCGUAGGCGGCGCCAUAAGUUGGAGGUGAAAUCCUGCGGCUCAACCGUAGAAUUGCCCCCAAAACUGUGGCGCUUGAGGAAGGUAGGGGUCUGCGGAACUCUCGGUGGAGCGGUGAAAUGUGUUGAGAUCGUGAGGAACGCCAGCGGCGAAAGCGGCAGACUGGAUCUUUUCUGACGCUGAGGCACGAAAGCUAGGGUAGCGAACGGG